rnacentral:tmRNA from 1 species
GGGGCCGACUGGCUUUGACAGCGGGAUGAAGUUUCAAGCAAGCAUGCCGAGCUAUGGAUAAAUGCUCGUAAAUCUGUUAUCCAAUCUAUAAAUGGCGAAAAUAACUACGCCCUUGCUGCUUAAUUCACAGAAGUGAAUUUUGCUUAAUUCCGUACCAGGUACGGGACGAGGACACUCCUCCACGACUCCGCCUGUUAGAAGUGGGAUCAGGAGUGCCGAACUUUCAGGAUAAGCGGACCGGUGUUUCGGAGGUCCGACGAAAAUCUUUAGAAACUAAGCGCAGAAUUGGAGGUUGCAUACCGGCACUGCGACGAAAACCAACUUGCAAAUAAGCAUGUAGAAACCUUGCCGCUUCCCUGUUUGGACGAGGGUUCGAUUCCCUCCGGCUCCACGA